rnacentral:rRNA from 1 species
AUUGAACGCUGGCGGCAGGCUUAACAAAUGCAAGUCGAGCGAGCGGCGGACGGGUGAGUAAUGUCUGGGAAACUGCCUGAUGGAGGGGGAUAACUACUGGAAACGGUAGCUAAUACCGCAUACCAUCAGAUGUGCCCAUAUGGGAUUAGCUGGUAGGUGGGGUAAUGGCUCACCUAGGCGACGAGCCAUAGCUGGUCUGAGAGGAUGAACAGCCACACUGGGAAGGAGACACGGUCCAGACUCCUACGGGAGGCAGAAGUGGGGAAUAUUGCACAAUGGGCGAAAGCAUGAUGCAGCCAUGCCGCGUGUGUGAAGAAGGCCUUCGGGGUGUAAAGCACUUUCAGCGAGGAGGCGUUACUCGCAGAAGAAGCACCGGCUAACUCCGUGCCAGCAGCCGCGGUAAUUC